UUGAAUGUGAAUUGAUUUAUAUUUGGAUACACCCAUUUAAAAGUGAUUCUUAUGUAUUAAUGAUGUUUGGAUAG
rnacentral:pre_miRNA from 1 species